CGCGUAGGCGGCUUGGCAAGUGGAAGGUGAAAUCCCUCGGCUUAACCGAGGAACUGCCUUCCAGACUGCUUAGCUUGAGACCAGGAGAGGUGAGUGGAAUUCCCAGUGUAGCGGUGAAAUGCGUAGAUAUUGGGAGGAACACCAGUGGCGAAGGCGGCUCACUGGACUGGUACUGACACUGAGGCGCGAAAGUGGGGGAGCAAACA
rnacentral:rRNA from 1 species